UACGUAGGGUGCGAGCGUUGUCCGGAAUUACUGGGCGUAAAGGGCUCGUAGGCGGUCCGUCGCGUCGGGAGUGAAAACUCGGAGCUUAACUCCGAGCCUGCUUCCGAUACGGGCAGACUAGAGGUAGGCAGGGGAGAGCGGAACUCCUGGUGUAGCGGUGGAAUGCGCAGAUAUCAGGAGGAACACCAAUUGCGAAGGCAGCUCGCUGGAACGUAACUGACGCUGAGGCACGAAAGCGUGGGGAGCAAACAGG
rnacentral:rRNA from 1 species